rnacentral:tRNA from 1 species
GCGAGAGUGGUGGAAUUGGCAGACACGCUAGACUUAGGAUCUAGUGCUUAGGCUUGAGGGUUCAAGUCCCUCCUCUCGCA